UGGGGAAUAUUGGACAAUGGGCGAAAGCCUGAUCCAGCCAUGCCGCGUGUGUGAAGAAGGUCUUCGGAUUGUAAAGCACUUUAAGUUGGGAGGAAGGGCAGUAAGUUAAUACCUUGCUGUUUUGACGUUACCGACAGAAUAAGCACCGGCUAACUCUGUGCCAGCAGCCGCGGUAAUACAGAGUGGUGACAAGCUAGUUGAAUUCGGAAUUACUGGGCGUAAAGCGCGCGUAGGUGGUUUGUUAAGUUGGAUGUGAAAGCCCCAGGGCUGCAACCUGGGAACUGCAUCCAAAACUGGCAAGCUAGAGUACGGUAGAGGGUGGUGGAAUUUCCUGUGUAGCGGUGAAAUGCGUAGAUAUAGGAAGGAACACCAGUGGCGAAGGCGACCACCUGGACUGAUACUGACACUGAGGUGCGAAAGCGU
rnacentral:rRNA from 1 species